AUAACUGUAGCGGUACUUACCCUUUCCAGGGGCCGGCCGGGGUCCUCUGUUCGAGCCGCGCGCGGUCCUGCUGCUGCACGAGCCGCGCGCGGCUCAUCCGACGGCUGUGACUGGAAAGCGGUCACGUGUUCCACCUAACUCUAAGAGCGCGCCGCGGGUAUCGGGCGCGCUCUUAAAGGGACAGUGGGUUCCUAAAUUGGAAAAGGCAUCCCAUU